UCCGUCGUGGUGUAGUGGCUAGCAUUUGAGACUCUCAAUUGGAUUCCCUCCUGUGAACUCUCAGAACCCGGGUUCAAUUCCCGGCGACGGAA